rnacentral:rRNA from 1 species
UAGCAGGAAUAGCUUGCUAGAUGAUGUCGAGUGGCGGACGGGUGAGUAAUACUUAGGAACAUGCCUUUGGGAGGGGGAUAACUAUUGGAAACGAUAGCUAAUACCGCAUAACGUCUACGGACCAAAGGGAGCGCUUGCGCUCUCGCCCAAAGAGAGGCCUAUAAGAUUAGCUAGUUGGUGAGGUAAUGGCUCACCAAGGCAACGAUCUUUAGCUGGUUUGAGAGGAUGAUCAGCCACACUGGGACUGAGACACGGCCCAGACUCCUACGGGAGGCAGCAGUGGGGAAUAUUGCACAAUGGGGGAAACCCUGAUGCAGCCAUGCCGCGUGUGUGAAGAAGGCCUUCGGGUUGUAAAGCACUUUCAGUUGUGAGGAAAGGGUAGCGGUUAAUACCCGUUAUCUGUGACGUUAGCAACAGAAGAAGGACCGGCUAACUCCGUGCCAGCAGCCGCGGUAAUACGGAGGGUCCGAGCGUUAAUCGGAAUUACUGGGCGUAAAGCGCACGUAGGCGGCUUUUUAAGCUAGAUGUGAAAGCCCUGGGCUCAACCUGGGAACUGCAUUUAGAACUGGAAGGCUAGAGUAUGGUAGAGGAGUGUGGAAUUUCAGGUGUAGCGGUGAAAUGCGUAGAGAUCUGAAGGAACAUCAGUGGCGAAGGCGACUCCCUGGCCAAAGACUGACGCUCAUGUGCGAAAGUGUGGGUAGCGAACAGGAUUAGAUACCCUGGUAGUCCACACCGUAAACGCUGUCUACUAGCUGUUUGUGGAUUUAAUCCGUGAGUAGCGAAGCUAACGCGAUAAGUAGACCGCCUGGGGAGUACGGCCGCAAGGUUAAAACUCAAAUGAGUUGACGGGGGCCCGCACAAGCGGUGGAGCAUGUGGUUUAAUUCGAUGUAACGCGAAGAACCUUACCUACUCUUGACAUACUAGAAACUUUUCAUAGAUGAAUUGGUGCCGGGAAUCCUGAGACAGUGCUGCAUGCUGUCGUCAGCUCGUGUCGUAGAAUGCUGGUAAGUCCCGCACGAGCGCACCCUUGUCUUAGUGCAGCAUUAGUGGCACUCUAGGGACUGCCGUGACAUCGAGAGGUGGGAACGACGUCAAGUCAUCAUGCCUUACGAGAUGGCUCACACGUGCUACAUGGCAGUACAAGAGCAGACGGUAACUGGAAGCGAACCUUAGCUGUGCGAAUGCGGAAUUGAAUCUGCACAUCAGCACUCUAGUGAUGCGCGUC